CCGAGUAUUGUACUCAGGUUGGUUCAGGCUUGGCAGGGACCGUACUGGUACUGUCGUGUCUGUUCCUCCGGCUGUGGUGGAGCUAUAUGAUUAGAUAGUUUUGUGGCCUUCUCGAUGGGGGUUCAGCCCUCAGAGUUCCAGUGACGGGGACUGACAGAGUAAGGCAAGGCACCGAAAUGAAUUUAUACGUUGCCGAGUGAGUGGUGUGCCCCAAGGCAAAGGUGACAUAGCGUUCUAAUCUUACUGCAUAAGCGACAUUUAAUUUUCUCGUCCUGCUGAGGCUAUGUAUAAAGCCGGGCAGGGACUGUGGGGCCUGCGCAGCCACUGAGGGGUCCUACGUGACCCGGAUAGUAAUCUCGUAAGGAAUCCCAAGUCGAGGAUCUAGUUAUGGAGCACUUGUCCUGAAUAAAUGGUUUGUCGAGCUGAGGAUAUGUCAGAAUCGGAGCAGAUGUUAAAGCUUCUUUCAGGUUGUUAAAUGCGUCCUCACAUUCUUUAGUCCACAAAAACGCUUGCUUGUUCUCUGCCAAUUUCUGAAGAGGUCUUGCGAUGGAAGAGAUGUCCUUCACAAACCUCCUAUAGUAGGUGCAAAGCCCCAGAAAACUUCGCAGCUGAUGCGCAUUUUCGGAGAGUUUCCAGUCUAUCUGCUGGAUCCUUUGGCAGAGAUGACAUGUCCAAGGCGUACCUAUUAGGCAACAUUGUCGGGAGUAUAUUCCAAAAAAAGAAGGUAACAUGGCUGAAAAGAAUGAAGUUCAAGUACAAUGAUUUCGCUUCUUCAAAAGUAACCAGAAUUUUCCUGCGCAACCAAUUGAGUCUACGAUGUUAAGCCUUCUCAGGAGUGGAAAUAUUUUCCCAUAAAAUCAAUCUCAUCUGUGGACAAAUUUUCCCUGACAUUAAAUUUCAACAUUAUCACAGGUCAUACCCAAUUUUUUUUUCCAAGUUAAAAAUGUUACAAGAGUUUCAGCAACUGUAAAAUAUUCUGUCAGAAUUAUGGCAUAUUGGAUAAAAGCUUAUUGAAUGCAGUACGUUUCUCUUCUUCUCCCUCAAUUUUCACCCCCCCCGAAGGAGCGGGGUAUCUGACGUUUUGUUUUCAUUAAAAGAAAUUUUCUAUAAAUCCUUUAUUCUAUUUCUACAUCCUUAGCGUUUGAAUAAAAACAGGUUUCCUAAAACUUCAGUUUAUUAUUAGAUUUAUGGCAUUCAUUAAAAAGCAAAGAAACCUAAA